CAUAAACACAUCCAGAGCUCGCUACAUAUGGUAGGACAGGGAAUCCAGAUCAUGAUGAGGAUGUAAAUCACAUCUAGGAAACAAGAAUAAGGUAAUACAUAAAGGGAACAAUUCAAACAUGUGAGCACAACACAAAGAACUCCACUGCGCUGUCCCUGGAAGACCAGCUCCACCCAGCACUGCAGGCAGGAGGCCAGGUGCCAAGUGCCACUGGUGUUCAGGUUCACUCGAUCUCUUCCUCUGCUGCACAGCAGUGCCUCCAGCCUGUGCUUGCUGAUGGGCAGAGAAGCAGCAGCAGCCCACCUCUGAGCUCAGCUCGGCUGCCUGCACUCUCAGCCAGACUGUGAUAUCUGCAGGCACUGCUUGCAACUUCUCACCCCAACACAAUUAGCUCCUCUGAAGUGUUUCAUGCAGGUUCAGCAUCCAGGUGGCGUGAAGCAGAGAUGCUGGCGGGCUGAGAUACACUGCACUUCAGCAGCUGGACUUUGUGUCUCUUACAGAGGAGUACUUCUAAUUUGCUGGGUUUCACAUAUCAAACUUUGAAUCACCUAAGGUAAGUUUAUGGAGAAGUAAUAAGUUAUUUCAUCUGGGAAAUGACCUAAAAAAUGCAAUCGUCCUCCAGAGAGCAACUGUGCCAAAUCUGGAGAUGAAAUUCAUUAAACGAAGUGCAAGAGAAAAAGCUUUGAUUCUGCUUCAGCUGCAGAGCCUUUUCCAGAUGCAGUUUGGCAGCAGUGCUAACGGGAAAGCAAAAGGAAAUGCUUUUCACUGUGACAGAGGCAUCGCUGUACAUGAAUGUGUAUCUUCAGCAGCAGGGAAAGGCAGUACCCAGGCUCCAUUCACCUGCACAGAUGCACACCGCUGCCAGACGACUCACAGCAGUGACAGUGCUGUGUCGUUAGCUCUGAGGAAUAAAGCAUCUGACUGGAAUCACGUUCAAAGGACUAUCAAGACCCGGAGAGAAUUUUGCUAACGGGUGGCUUCUGCACUAAAGCCACCUCACUGUUGUAUCUGCUUUCCACAACAGGUAGCGCACAGACCUUUCUCACCACAGCGCAAACACCCGACGGACGGGGUUCAAACAGCACGGACGGGACAACAGCCCACCCUCCGCCGUCCCGCCCGCCAACGGUCGCCGCGUGCCUGCCCGCCCGUCCGCCCACACCGCUGUUGCCACGGCUCGGCGGGAGGCGGCAGCCAAUCAGGAGGCGGGGAGAUAUAUUUGUCGCUGUUGCUACCGGCGCUCCGGGGCGGGCGGCCAAUGGGGAGGCGGCUCGCGGCCGCCAUGGCGCUGGGCAGCGGAAAGAGCGGCCCUCCUCAGCGGCGGUGCUGGGCGGUUCAGGGCGGGAGGGCCGUCUUGGAGAUGGGAGACAAGGGCGGGAAAAGGGUGCAAAGCAGCACAAGGACAGCGCAUCCCGCCUUUUGCACUCCGCACAGCAGCGCCGGUUCACCCAAGGCUCCAUUGUUAAAAGUGACAAGGUGUGAAGGCACACACAGCACUUCAAAGCAGCCUAUAAGAAAAUGGCAUCCCAAGGGAGAGCCAGGGGAGCAAACACUGGGUGCCCCAGGGCCACAGCCCCACCGUACCCCGGUGUGGGGCUCAAAACACUGUGUGCAAAUAAAGGUUGUCCUCCUUUUCGGUUGAGUUUCACGUGCCUUCACAAUGCAAUGAAGGACUGAGACCUGAGCAGUGCUAUAGGCACUACAGGUACUGCCACAGAAUCAGUAACUUGGUAUUUUUAACAUCUUCAGAAAAGCUUCAGACUGCUCCAGUGAAAGCAUACAACCCACGGUGUACCUUCCGUUUCUUACAUCCCUUGCAAAAUUCUUAUUACAGAGCUCAUUUUAGUAAGCUUUACUAUUUGAAAAGGCCCUCAUCCUUCUGCCCCAUUCUUUCUGUUCCUCAUCUCCACAUCAAACUCCUCAUUCGUUUAAAAUAUAAAGAAAACCAGGAAAGAAUGAGGUUUUUGCUGGAGAAGUGCAGACCACAUUGAGCAUCUCUGCAGGUAGGCCACGUUUGUUCCCCACUUAGAAUUGAGAGAGCAGCCACACUGCCUGGAACAUGUCAGUGCUUCGUGGGUCACCAGCUAGAUACUCCAGGACCUGAAAGAAAGGAGGGAAUCAAAGCUUCACCACAUAGGAUCUUCAGUGCAGUUUCUCACCAUGGAAGAGCUCCUUCGGGCAGGUGUACAGAGGCACAGGACUGUGGGAAGGGAGGGAAUGUCAGUGGUGAGCACUGUGUGCGAAGGGACAAAGUCUUUGUCCCCUUCUAAUAGUAGAGUAAUCCACCUGUACAAGGUGUGGGUGUAACAACGGCAAGCACAAUCUGUGCGCAGUUCUGAAUUCCAAGAGCAAUUCCUCCCUUCUUUUUGCCCAAGGCACCAGCUCUGUAUAAAAAUAAGUAAACAGUGCAGGGCAAAACCAGCAUAAAGUAACUAAUGAAGAUGGGAAUGAUCACUUCGACAAGGGAGUUCUGUUCAGGAAGGGAAAGAAAUGUCUCCAAAAUGAGUUAGCUGGUUUUUGUUUUACUCUCAUUUUGAUAUGUGACGUGACCCACAAAGAACAAACUGAAAGUUGUGUGUGGUACAGGGUGUGUACAUCUGCACCUCUGUGGUUCAGACACAGGAAAUAAACAUCUGCACAACCCCA
ensembl:lncRNA